rnacentral:lncRNA from 1 species
UUGCUUAUAUAAAAAAUACACAAAAAAAGUAAAAUAAAAAAUCUGUGUGUGUGUGUAUACAAGUGUAUGUAUUAAAUAAAGAAUGGCUAUAUUUACAAUGUCUUAAAAUGGCUACUUAUGUAAUAUCUGUUGCUGUUUGUUUGUUCUUCAGAUUGGGCUGCAGUUGAGUUGAGCCCAAUAUCUCAACACCCCCCCUCAAGCUGGAGGGUGGGUGAACACCCAGCUUGGGCAAGAAGGAAUGAUGCAGGAUACCUAUCAAGGGCUUUGUAAAAAUGUCAGCAAGUUGUGAGCCAGAAAUAACAUGAUGUAAAGUGAUG